rnacentral:pre_miRNA from 1 species
CGUGUUCAUUGUUGUGCCUUUUGUAUUAUUGAACGGAAUCAUAAGGCACGCGGUGAAUGCCAA